UACGUAGGGGGCGAGCGUUGUCCGGAGUUACUGGGCGUAAAGGGCAUGCAGGCGGUCGGACGCGUUUCGGGUGACAGCGGGUGGCUUAACUACCCGAGUGGUCGAAAGACGGUUUGACUUGAGGACGCGAGAGGGACACGGAAUUCCGGGUGUAGUGGUGAAAUGCGUAGAUAUCCGGAGGAACACCAGUGGCGAAGGCGGCCUUCUGGGAUGAUCCUGACGCUCAGACACGAAAGCUAGGGGAGCGAACGGG
rnacentral:rRNA from 1 species